rnacentral:rRNA from 1 species
CAAGAGCGUAUGUAAAAGUUGUUGCAGUUAGAAAGCUCGUAGUUGAACCUUGGGUUUGGUUGGCCGGUCCGCUUUUUUGCGAGUACUGGAUUCAACCGAGCCUUUCCUUCUGGCUAACCAGUCGUUUCGGCGGCUGGCGAACCAGGAUUUUUACUUUGAGAAAAUUAGAGUGUUCAAAGCAGGCAUUAGCUUGAAUAUAUUAGCAUGGAAUAAUAGAAUAGGACGUUAUGGUUCUAUUUUGUUGGUUUCUAGGACCAUCGUAAUGAUUAAUAGGGACGGUCGGGGGCAUCAGUAUUCAGUUGUCAGAGGUGAAAUUCUUGGAUUUACUGAAGACUAACUACUGCGAAAGCAUUUGCCAAGGACGUUUUCAUUAA